UACACGUUAAACCCGGUAGUGUAGCUCAAUAAUCUGAUCAUGUGAAACGAUCAGAUGGAUGAUCAAAACAUUAGUGUCAGGAUGUGUUGACAUGUUUCUAGAGUUUAUAUCAGACCUGCGCAUCAUCUGUGAGAUAUAAUGUCGGACCCUCACUCAUUUCUGGGGUGUGUGAGAAGAGGUCUGCGCUUAGAUGUGUUUAAGGAUGUUGCUCGUCAGUAUCCUGUCAUCUUCUGUAUCUUCACCUUUAUGAUCUCCUCCACCAUCAUCCUCAACCAGUAUCUGCAUAUUCUCAUGGUUUUCUGGUCGUUUCUGGCGGGAGUGAUCACAUUCUACUGCUCCCUCAGCCCAGAAUACCUGCUGCCCAAUAUCCUCAUCUCUGUAAGGUCCAAGAGGAAAGUAAGUGUGUCCAUUAGGAUGUAAGAAGUGUGGCUAGUCCGAAGCGCAACAAUGACAGUCUUUUAUAAGAGAUUGUUCAAUUACACAAAGUGAUAAACCUGAGUGAGAUCAACUAAGAGUGGAACUAAGCCUUACUCCGGUGAUAUAUGUUUCAAGCGUUAUGUAUUGAAAACUACCACAGAAUAUGCAUGUGCACACCUUAUAAUGCUUUAUUAUCACACAAGUCUUCAUCUUUCUGUCAUGGGAGCCUCAGCAAAUGGAACUUUAGUUCCAGUCCUUGAUUCUGAUUGGUUGAGCAGCGUUCGAAGCCGUU